rnacentral:rRNA from 1 species
UGACAGUCGAGCGGUAGCACAGAGAGCUUGCUCUCGGGUGACGAGCGGCGGACGGGUGAGUAAUGUCUGGGAAACUGCCUGAUGGAGGGGGAUAACUACUGGAAACGGUAGCUAAUACCGCAUAACGUCGCAAGACCAAAGUGGGGGACCUUCGGGCCUCAUGCCAUCAGAUGUGCCCAGAUGGGAUUAGCUAGUAGGUGGGGUAACGGCUCACCUAGGCGACGAUCCCUAGCUGGUCUGAGAGGAUGACCAGCCACACUGGAACUGAGACACGGUCCAGACUCCUACGGGAGGCAGCAGUGGGGAAUAUUGCACAAUGGGCGCAAGCCUGAUGCAGCCAUGCCGCGUGUGUGAAGAAGGCCUUCGGGUUGUAAAGCACUUUCAGCGGGGAGGAAGGCGGUGAGGUUAAUAACCUCAUCGAUUGACGUUACCCGCAGAAGAAGCACCGGCUAACUCCGUGCCAGCAGCCGCGGUAAUACGGAGGGUGCAAGCGUUAAUUGGAAUUACUGGGCGUAAAGCGCACGCAGGCGGUCUGUCAAGUUGGAUGUGAAAUCCCCGGGCUCAACCUGGGAACUGCAUUCGAAACUGGCAGGCUAGAGUCUUGUAGAGGGGGGUAGAAUUCCAGGUGUAGCGGUGAAAUGCGUAGAGAUCUGGAGGAAUACCGGUGGCGAAGGCGGCCCCCUGGACAAAGACUGACGCUCAGGUGCGAAAGCGUGGGGAGCAAACAGGAUUAGAUACCCUGGUAGUCCACGCCGUAAACGAUGUCGAUUUGGAGGUUGUGCCCCUGAGGCGUGGCUUCCGGAGCUAACGCGUUAAAUCGACCGCCUGGGGAGUACGGCCGCAAGGUUAAAACUCAAAUGAAUUGACGGGGGCCCGCACAAGCGGUGGAGCAUGUGGUUUAAUUCGAUGCAACGCGAAGAACCUUACCUGGUCUUGACAUCCACAGAACUUUCCAGAGAUGGAUUGGUGCCUUCGGGAACUGUGAGACAGGUGCUGCAUGGCUGUCGUC